GCUCAUGAGCUGGCUCAUGUCUGCAAUACAAACACGAGAGCGAAGGAAGUUUGGAGAUUCGAGUUCAAUGAAAAUAGGAACAAUCAAUCAAUAGUACUUGCAACUGGACAACAACAGAUCUAAUUUUUUUUUAUAAGGUGUGUAAGUAAUUAAGAAAAUGAAUUCUAAAUCAAUUUCAUCAAGAAUAAUGUAAGAUAGCGGAUUGAGAGAAAAAAAAUCAGUUAUGGAAAACAGACAAGAAUUGUCAAAAUGAACUAAAUGGGAAAAUACAUUCAUUAUUCCAGAAGAGUUAGAUUUUAAUUAGAGUGAGGAUAUUGAUUUCGUCAGUGAAAACUAGUUUUCAUUUGGUGUAAUAAUGAAUUUGGAUUGGAUUGAAACUAGUUUCAUAGGACUAAUCCUCAUAGAUAUAUUUGUAGAAUUUUGUUUGUUGCAUAUAAUUAUGUAUAUUUCUAAUUUAAUAACUUAUAAAAAUGUUGAGAGACCUUUGCCCACCAAAGAGCGAACAGGUUAAAAAAAUAAAUAUUUGAAAAUGUAAUCCCUAAAACUCAUUAGCAGACACCAAAUAAAAUUUUGUUUUUAAUUUUUGUGAGGUAUUGAACAUGUUGUACUUUUCCAGACAAUACCAUAAUUUCUCAGCUGUAAGUACCACAAUUAACAAAACUGUUAAUUCUUGACUGAUUGUUCAAUAUAUAAUCAAAGUCUUAUAAAUCAAUUUGAAGCAUAACUUUUAUGUAAUUAAGCAUUGCAAAUUAAUUAGUAUAUACCCAUUAAUUGUUCUUCAUUAGGUAUACAAUGAUUGACCAUGUCUCCAAAAAUAAUUAAAAAAUAGAAAUACAAAAAUGGGGUUUUGAA